rnacentral:rRNA from 1 species
GACGAACGCUGGCGGCGUGCUUAACACAUGCAAGUCGAACGGAAAGGCCCUGCUUUUGUGGGGUGCUCGAGUGGCGAACGGGUGAGUAACACGUGAGUAACCUGCCCUUGACUUUGGGAUAACUUCAGGAAACUGGGGCUAAUACCGGAUAGGAGCUCCUGCUGCAUGGUGGGGGUUGGAAAGUUUCGGCGGUUGGGGAUGGACUCGCGGCUUAUCAGCUUGUUGGUGGGGUAGUGGCUUACCAAGGCUUUGACGGGUAGCCGGCCUGAGAGGGGGACCGGCCACAUUGGGACUGGGAUGCGGCCCAGACUCCUACGGGAGGAAGCAGUGGGGAAUAUUGCACAAGGGGCGGAAGCCUGAUGCAGCAACGCCGCGUGCGGGAUGACGGCCUUCGGGUUGUAAACCGCUUUCGCCUGUGACGAAGCGUGAGUGACGGUAAUGGGUAAAGAAGCACCGGCUAACUACGU